GGGAAUAUAGCUCAGUGGUGGAGGGCUUGCCUGGCAUGUGUGAGGCCUGGGUUCAAUCCCCAGUACACACA
rnacentral:tRNA from 1 species